rnacentral:rRNA from 1 species
GAUGAACGCUAGCUACAGGCUUAACACAUGCAAGUCGAGGGACCGGCGCACGGGUGAGUAACACGUAUCCAACCUGCCCUUUACUCGGGGAUAGCCUUUCGAAAGAACGAUUAAUAACCGAUGUAAAGUAUGGGGCUGCGUUCCAUUUGGUUGUUGGUGAGGUAACGGCUCACCAAGCCUUCGAUGGAUAGGGGUUCGGAGAGGAAGGGACCCCACAUUUGAACUGAGAGACGGGCCAAACGCCUACGGGAGGCAGCAGUGAGGAAUAUUGGUCAAUGGGCGUUAGCCUGAACCAGCCAAGUAGCGGUAAGGAUGAAGGCUUAUGGGUCGUAAACUUCUUUUAUAGAAGAGUAUGUAUUAUAUGAAUAAGGAUCGGCUAACUCCGUGCCAGCAGCCGCGGUAAUUC